rnacentral:tRNA from 1 species
GGGGGCGUGGCUCAAGUGGUAGAGCACCUGCCUAGCAAGGCAGGAGAGGCCUGAGUUCAAAUCCCAGUCCCACCU